UAUGAUUCCCUCAGUAAGGGCGACUGAAGCGGGAAGAGCUCAUUCUGUGAAUCUGUAUACUAUUUUUGGUAUACCGAGUUGUGGAAUAUAGAAGCACAUCAGUUCGAGUUCUGGUCUAAGUCUCUUGGAAAAGAGCAGCUUAGAGGGUGACACUCCCGUUCUUGGCUAGAACUCAAACUUUAGCAUGUGGUUUCGACGAGUCGAGUUGCUUGGGAUUGCAGCUCAAAGUUGGUGGUAAAUUCCAUCUAAAGCUAAAUAUCGGUGGGAGACCGAUAGCGUACAAGUACCGUGAGGGAAAGAUGCAAAGAACUUUGAAAAAAGAGUUAAAGAGUACCUGAAAUUGCUGAAAUGGAAGCGAAGGAAACCAGUGCCGUUCUAUACCAUUUUUCUGUUCUUGCUUGCGAGAAUAGCGCUGUGGUUUAGUACAGGCCAGCGUGAGUUUGAGCCGAAGGAAGCAGCUUUGCAGGAGGCAGCACAAUUUCUGUGCGAUUACUGCUUAGUUUUGCUUCGGCUUGGACUGAGGCUAGUCACUUGUGCUCGUGACGCUGGCGAAAUGGUUUUCUUUACCCCGUCUUGAAACACGGACCAAGGAGUCUAACAUAUGUGCGAGUAUAUGAGUGACAAACUCACGUGCGAAAUGAAAGUAACAGUGGUUGGACCUUUUGGGGCACAAUCCGCCGGCCACAAUCCUUCGGGAGAAAGGUCUGAGUGUGAGCAUACAUGUUGGGACCCGAAAGAUGGUGAACUAUGCCUGAAUAGGGUGAAGCCG
rnacentral:rRNA from 1 species